rnacentral:rRNA from 1 species
GAUGAACGCUGGCGGCGUGCCUAAUACAUGCAAGUCGAGCGAACGGACGAGAAGCUUGCUUCCCUGAUGUUAGCGGCGGACGGGUGAGUAACACGUGGAUAACCUACCUAUAAGACUGGGAUAACUUCGGGAAACCGGAGCUAAUACCGGAUGAUAUUUUGAACCGCAUGGUUCAAAAGUGAAAGACGGUCUUGCUGUCACUUAUAGAUGGAUCCGCGCUGGAUUAGCUAGUUGGUAAGGUAACGGCUUACCAAGGCGACGAUGCAUAGCCGACCUGAGAGGGUGAUCGGCCACACUGGAACUGAGACACGGUCCAGACUCCUACGGGAGGCAGCAGUAGGGAAUCUUCGGCAAUGGGCGAAAGCCUGACGCAGCAACGCCGCGUGAGUGAUGAAGGCCUUCGGAUCGUAAAGCUCUGUUAUUAGGGAAGAACAUAUGUGUGAGUAAAUGUGCACAUCUUGACGGUACCUAAUCAGAAAGCAACGGCUAACUACGUG